AACAUGCAAGCACGCAUCCACCUCCACUGAGGUGAGAGCAGAUACACAUCCACCUCCACUGAGGUGGAUAGCAGAUACACAUCCACCUCCACCGUGAUAGCAGAUACACAUCCACAUCCACUGAGGUGGAUAGCAGAUACACAUCCACCUCCACUGAGGUCUAAAUAUGCAAACAUGCAUCCACCUCCACUGAGGUGAGGGCAGAUACACCUCCACCUGCAUUGAGGUCUGAUGCAAACAUGCAAGCACGCAUCCACCUCCACUGAGGUGAGAGCAGAUACACAUCCACCUCCACUGAGGUGGAUAGCAGAUACACAUCCACCUCCACCGUGAUAGCAGAUACACAUCCACAUCCCCUGAGGUGGAUAGCAGAUACACAUCCACCUCCACUGAGGUCUAGAUAUAAAUAUGCAAACAUGCAUCCACCUCCACUGAGGUGAGUAGCAGGCAUGGAAUACCAAACAGAGACCACCAAUACACCACUGAACUAGAAGUUAGCAACAUUUCAGUUUCCUUCUGAAAAGAGUCCAAACUUGUCCUCAACUGACCCCAGAGAAGAGGGAGAGAUGGACGGAAGGGGAUACGCAAUAAAGGGGGGCGGCCAAGAGACACAUCUCAUGGAGGGUCCGUCUGUCCCAAUUCCUCCCGCCAAGACCCCCGAGGCCGAGAGGAAAUGGCUUCCCAGUGUCUCCGGGCGAGCGCUGGCUCCGGAUCGACGGAUCAGCCUGGAACCCUAGAUCUUAAUAUAUAAUAAUGUCGCGGCCGUAAUCCAAUUUAUUGGCAAGAUCAUUAAGACGGAAGGGAGGCUGGCCAUCACUUAAAGCAAGAGGAGACGGAGGCCCAAACAAAACAGGGCUUGUUUAUUUUUUGGCCCAAAACAAACAUGGAGGCACGGCCAAGGCUCGCUGGGAGAGGACAAUGAGAGCGGAUAAAUGUAAUUACUUAAUAGGCCGGGCCUGGGAACGAAAAGAGGGUUUGGAAGACGCCGGAAGAAGGGCCUGUCAACAACUCUUCCCUUACAGAUCCCACAUGGCAAUAUCAAUAUAUAUAUAUGUACGGGUGACAUAUAAAUGUAGCAAAUAAAUAAAUAAACACACACACACACAUAUCUAUAUCUAUAUCUAUAUCUAUAAAAUGAUAAAGUUGUUUGCGCAGUGACUAUAACAACAAAACUAAACAUCCCAGAAAUACGAAAUUUGGCAACACAAUGCAAAAGGCUUGCCUCCAGGUUACAACAACACAACCACACCACAAAACCACAAUCCAGACCCACAAAACUCACAACAACGCAUCAUGCGAUAACAACACAACUAAACGCCCCAGAAAUACAAAACUUGGCAACACAAUGCAAAAGCCUUGCCUUCCAGUUAUAACAACACAACCACACCACAAAACCACACAGGACCCACAAAACUCACAACAACGCAUUGUGACUAUAACACAAC